GUUUGAUGUUCUAACGUGGACCCGUAAUCCGGGUUGCGGACAGUGUCUGGUGGGUAGUUUGACUGGGGCGGUCUCCUCCUAAAGAGUAACGGAGGAGCACGAAGGUUGGCUAAUCCUGGUCGGACAUCAGGAGGUUAGUGCAAUGGCAUAAGCCAGCUUGACUGCGAGCGUGACGGCGCGAGCAGGUGCGAAAGCAGGUCAUAGUGAUCCGGUGGUUCUGAAUGGAAGGGCCAUCGCUCAACGGAUAAAAGGUACUCCGGGGAUAACAGGCUGAUACCGCCCAAGAGUUCAUAUCGACGGCGGUGUUUGGCACCUCGAUGUCGGCUCAUCACAUCCUGGGGCUGAAGUAGGUCCCAAGGGUAUGGCUGUUCGCCAUUUAAAGUGGUACGCGAGCUGGGUUUAGAACGUCGUGAGACAGUUCGGUCCCUAUCUGCCGUGGGCGCUGGAGAACUGAGGGGGGCUGCUCCUAGUACGAGAGGACCGGAGUGGACGCAUCACUGGUGUUCGGGUUGUCAUGCCAAUGGCACUGCCCGGUAGCUAAAUGCGGAAGAGAUAAGUGCUGAAAGCAUCUAAGCACGAAACUUGCCCCGAGAUGAGUUCUCCCUGAGACUUAGAGUCUCCUGAAGGAACGUUGAAGACGACGACGUUGAUAGGCCGGGUGUGUAAGCGCAGCGAUGCGUUGAGCUAACCGGUACUAAUGAACCGUGAGGCUUAACCUU
rnacentral:rRNA from 2 species